rnacentral:rRNA from 1 species
ACGCUCGACACCUACGGGAGGCAGCAGUUGGGAAUAUUGGACAAUGGAGGAAACUCUGAUCCAGUGACGCCGCGUGAAGGAAGAAGGUCUUCGGAUUGUAAACUUAUUUUGUCAGGGAAGAAAAAAUGACUGUACCUGAAGAAAAAGCACCGGCUAACUACGUGCCAGAAGCCGCGGUAAUCUGAGGCGGGCUGGCAAGGC